AAGAACCUUACCAGGUCUUGACAUCCCUGACAACCCGAGAGAUCGGGCGUUCCCCUUCGGGGGACAGGGUGACAGGUGGUGCAUGGUUGUCGUCAGCUCGUGUCGUGAGAUGUCCGGGGUUAAGUCCCCGGCAACGAGCGCAACCCUCGACCUUAGUUGCCAGCAUUCAGUUGGGCACUCUAAGGUGACUGCCGGCUAAAAGUCGGAGGAAGUGGGGAUGACGUCAAAUCAUCAUGCCCCUUAUGACCUGGGCUACACACGUGCUACAAUGGGCGGUACAAAGGGUCGCGAACCCGCGAGGGGGAGCCAAUCCCAAAAAGCCGCUCUCAGUUCGGAUUGCAGGCUGCAACUCGCCUGCAUGAAGCCGGAAUCGCUAGUAAUCGCGGAUCAGCAUGCCGCGGUGAAUACGUUCCCGGGCCUU
rnacentral:rRNA from 1 species